AUGUCUCUCACUGGUCACCGCUUAUUGAUUCUCCCGACUCCUCCUCCUCCUCGCGCUUCCUUCGUCUCUACACCUCCCUUCUCCCGCCUCCGUCUGAAGCGUGCUUCUCCCGGUGGUGUUACCUCUUCUUCCGCCGUCGAUGGCUGCCGUGGCUUACCUCUGACUCGUUGUAACCCGAUCGUUUCAACUCGCCGCCGACUCGUCCCCGUUCGUGCAAUUGACUCAGACAUUCCUCAUCCGAUUAAAGAAUACGAAGAAUGGGACUCAUGGACUGCCAAGUUCUCCGGCGGAGCCAACGUCCCGUUUCUGAUGCUGCACUUACCGCAGAUCAUUCUCAAUGCUCAGAAUCUUUUGGCCGGAAACAACACAGCCCUCUCCGCCGUCCCAUGGCUGGGGAUGUUGACUGGUUUGUUAGGGAACCUUUCGUUGCUUUCUUAUUUCGCAAAGAAGAGAGAAAAGGAAGCAGCUGUGGUGCAAACACUUGGAGUUAUCUCCACCUACGUUGUCCUUGUGCAGCUCACGAUGGCUGAAGCCAUGCCUGUGCAGUAUUUUGUUGCUACUUCUGCCGUUGUGACGGUUGGUUUGGUGUUGAACUGUUUGUUCUAUUUUGGUAAGCUAGGGAUGACUGUGUGGAGACUGUGGGAAGACUUUAUCACUGUUGGUGGACUCUCCGUUCUUCCUCAAAUCAUGUGGUCAACUUUUGUCCCUCUGGUGCCAAAUAGUAUAUUGCCUGGGACGACUGCUUUUGUUAUUGCUGUAGCGGCUGUGAUCAUGGCUCGAACGGGGAAACUCUCAGAGGAAGGUGUUAGGUUUGUUGGGUCUUUAUCUGGAUGGACAGCAACACUUAUGUUCAUGUGGAUGCCAGUUUCCCAAAUGUGGACAAACUUCCUAAACCCAGACAACAUAAAAGGCUUAUCACCCAUCACAAUGGUACUUGCGAUGAUGGGAAACGGGCUUAUGAUCCCACGAGCAUUAUUUAUCCGCGAUUUGAUGUGGUUCACCGGUUCAAUGUGGGCAACUCUCUUUUAUGGAUAUGGGAACAUUCUGUGCUUAUACAUGUUAAACUGCACCAGCAAGUCAUUCUUUGCGGCUGCCACAAUUGGUUUGAUCUCAUGGAUAGGAGUUGCUUUGUGGAGAGAUGCAAUGGCUUAUGGUCACAACUCCCCGUUUAGAUCACUGAAGGAGCUGGUUUAUGGGCCGUAACACAAUAGAGUUAAAACUCCGUUUGCUUCAAGCUAGCAAGUACAUAAGGGUUACUUGUUUGUGUCAAGCACCUAUGGAAACAGCGACAAAAGCUCUGAAUCUAGGAAGAGAAUGGAACAAUGCACAACAACAGAUUCAAUCGGUGAAGAAAGUGAUACUUGCAUCAAGAAGAUCGACAGGAAACAAUGGUGAAAGCAGCACCUACACGACAUGUAGAUCAGAUGCGGCAUAUGAUAAGAGAUCAAAACGGGCAGGAAUCGCUUGGAUCUUCUCUAAUGGAAAC